rnacentral:rRNA from 1 species
UACGGAAGGCAGCAGUGGGGAAUAUUGCACAAUGGGCGCAAGCCUGAUGCAGCCAUGCCGCGUGUAUGAAGAAGGCCCUUCGGGUUGUAAAGUACUUUCAGUCGUGAGGAAGGUGUUAAGGUUAAUAACCUUAGCAAUUGACGUUAGCGACAGAAGAAGCACCGGCUAACUCCGUGCCAGCAGCCGCGGUAAUACGGAGGGUGCGAGCGUUAAUCGGAAUUACUGGGCGUAAAGGGCACGCAGGCGGUUAAUUAAGUUGGAUGUGAAAUCCCCCGGGCUUAACCUGGGAAUGGCAUUCAAGACUGGUUAGCUAGAGUCUUGUAGAGGGGGAUAGAAUUCCAUGUGUAGCGGUGAAAUGCGUAGAGAUGUGGAGGAAUACCGGUGGCGAAGGCGGCCCCGUGGACAAAGACUGACGCUCAUGUGCGAAAGCGGUGGGGAGCAAACAGGGAUUAGAUA